GAGGACUGAGGAGGCUGUGAUUGGACUGUCCACACUGCCGCUCAUCUGAUCAGACCUGUCGACCCAUACACCAGCGGAUUCUCCCCUCCCUUCCCCCUCUACUGGCACAGCAUCGUGUCUCUUGGUCAGCCUAACCCCUCCCACCACCUCACCCCGAUUGGUGCAGUCGAUUACAUUACCGGAGUGCCCAAUGCCCCCUACCUGCCAUCCAGCAGACUGCAGCUCUGACGCCCCAACCCCCCAACCCCUCAACCAGGUCUCGAUAAGAUAUCCGCCAGUCAGUCCACUCGCAGAAUCCCUUCUCGACAGAGAUGCGAUUUUUAGGAUUUAUUUCUAUUUACGAAAACACGCAGGUGUGUACAUAGGAAGUGCAUACAGUGGGAGCAAGCAGAGUCAUUGUAUCGAGGUUGUAUAAAACAGGGUUUUUCAAUGAUUUUCCUUUGUCCGUAAGUUUGUGUGUCUGUAGAUGAUGUUUGAUCUGCUCAGUGUUACGUUUUGAUCUUGUCGUGGCUGUUUUUGUUUGUUUUUCUUUUUGUUUUCUGGUUCCUUUCGCAUUUUCUCGUCCGCCCCGCCUCCUGUCUUCAACAUGCUGUAAUCGGUUAGGUGUCUUCUUCCCGUCCUCAAGUGAACCGACGACCCCGAUACACACUCUGUCUCUCUCUCCUCCUCUCGCUCUCUUUCUGUCUCUCUUACUCUUUGUCUCUCCCUCUCUGUCGCUUCCUCUCUCUGUCUUUCUGUUUCUUUCUCUUUCUGUCUCUGUCACUAUCUCUCUUCCCCUUCACCUUCACCAUAACCGCCUCCAAUGACAGUAAAUUACAAGGGUUAGUAUCAUUUGUAUGUAUACGUUUGGGUUAUGUGUGUGGGUUUGGCUGUGUGUGAGUGUACUGUAUGGAAAUAAUUGUAGUGCUGAGGAUGGAGUUGUCGGAAGUGAUUGUAAGUUACUACAUUGCUACCGUCUUUCCGGUUACCAGUCAACUUCUGUAUGUGUAUGUCUGAGUGUGUGUGCAUGGGUAUGUUUGGAUAACAAUUUAACAGGUGGGGUAAUUUGAAGUGCAAUAAUGAUCAUUCUUACUCAGACAUGUGGAGUUGUUUAGAUUACAGGGCCAUGGCUCUUAGUGGCGAAUCCUCCUGUGAAUCCUCAACUCUGCACCAGGCCAGAAGUUUUACCCUGUCAUCACAUGUUCCCAGGGAAAAACUCCUGGCUCCCGUUAUGUAACAAAUAUAUGCCCCCCCCCCUCCCCCUUUGCAUCUAUCCAUCCUCUCCUUUUGAUGGAUAAAAGCCCUUAUCCAGUAAUAGCAAUAAUUCCCUCUCUUCCUCUCUCUCCUCCUCUUCAUCCUCCAUUCAUUUAGCCAGCCAUCUCUCUUUUCCCCUAUUUGUGUGUGAACCAGAACCAUGCUGCGGAGAGAAAGAGAGAAAGAGAGAGAGAGAGAGAGAGAGAGAGAGAGAGAGAGAAGAGACUAAAUUGGUACUGGUUCUCAUUCUGUUCCUGGAUCCUCUCUCUUAUCGGACUCCAGUUUUUGGCAGUUUGAGUUCUAAACUUGCAUCUUGUAGUGGUGAACGUGUGUGUAUGUGUGUGUGUUUGACGUAAAUGUAUCGGAACAAUAUUUUACUAUGUGGAGGGAGGGGAGGGGUAUGUAUCAGGGGGAAGGACGGAGGAGCAGUGUACUGUAGUUCUGACAUCGGGGCACAGGAACUACAAAACCCAUCCAUGUCUGCAACUCCUUCCCUUCUUUUGAAAUCAUCAUCUCGUAUUCCUUACCUCUAAGUAUCUCCCACACUGUUAAAACUGUAUAUUUCUCUAGUCUUGGUAACCCAACUCCUUUCUCUCCAUCUUUCGCUCUAUCCUCUAUCGGACUUUGUUUCUGUGAUGAUGUGAGUGGGCUCCCAGCAGAACAUUGGAGGCGUGUGGCUGUAUACUGGAUGUACUCAGAUUGUAUAUAGUAUAUAAAUUUAUGUAGAUGAACACAUAUAUAUAGGUCAGACUGUCCUGCCAAACCAACAGCACACCAAUCUCCCCCCCUGAAUGUCGUCGCUAGAUCCUUAAUCUUAGAUAGUCCACAUCGAGCCUAGGUUGAAUAAUAUGCCAGGACUCUUAUUGUGAAGGAGCCAGGAAGGAGUAUUAGUUGACGCUCUACCUCUGUUGAAAGAUAAGCUGGCAAACAGGCAGAAUGUGAUUAAUUCAGUCUGAAUGAAAAUAGAAGGGGUUAAUACCCGAUGAGACGUUACGGUGGCUAUUUUGAGCCCUUUUAAUAUGACGGCAAAGCAAAUAAAGACUUAAACAAUAUUGAAAGAUGAAAAUAUAUUUGGAAAAAACACAGGCAUCUUUGUGUGGUCUCUGGAGGCUGUCUUGACCAUGGUGCAGUGGGAAACGGAAAUAGAGGGGUGAAGAGAAGGGUCUAUGUGUAGCACAUUAUACUGUAGAUGACCCGCAUAGUCAAAAAGAAAAACACAAAGAAACAGUUUCUUUCCUCCUCCUGCUCCCUUCCUCCCUCUCUCACCUCCCCUCGUUGGCAGGACAGUGUAUAAAUAUAUUUUGGUUCUGAAUGUUGUCGUACCUCUGUUGUUAGUCUCUAAACCACAGCCAUCUCUCGCAGACAGGAAGUAUAGCAGCCUGUCUGUCCGUGACAACUCGCAGCAGCGAGUUGGUCGGGGGUGGGGGGUGGAAGUUGGACCUACACACUGACCUCCAGUCAGUUCGUUGCCCCCCCCCCCUCUCCCCCCUCUAUGACAGGACAAGGGAAUGGUAACCCGACUGUAUUUGAAUCUAGUGUGGUUGGGUGAAGCAUGAGGGUGUAAGGAUGUAGCCUACUCCUGGAAGAGCUAGCUAGCUAGAGUACUUUUACAAAAACAGUGAGAGAUCAUGGUUGAAAGAGACAAGAUCCUAGAUAUCUCGUUGUUAGAAUCCUCAAUUUGUCAUCGGAAAACCGAACCAAUGACGUCAGAACCCCAAACCUUUGUUUUUUCCUUGAAACUUUUUCGUUUUUUUACUUUUUGUUUCCUCUGACACUCCCUGAUUUGUCACUUGUUUUGUUUCUUUUACUGUGAAUUUGUGCCUUUUGUCAUCUUAUCUUCCAAUAACACUACAUUGGAGACGUAAAAAAAAUAAAUGAAUAAAAA